GUGCAGACCGUUUCCAGCGAGGCUGAGUCUACAGUGACUCUGUUCUUUCCUACCGUGUCUGCUAGAGAGAGACAUGUGAGGCUGUUUGAGGCCCUGCUGUGUACUGUAUAUGGCAGGGUUAUAGGUAAACCUCACACAAAA